rnacentral:tRNA from 2 species
AGCAAUGUAGCUUAGAGGUCAGAGCGGGUCGUGAAAACGGCUGCGGGGCGGUUCGAUUCCGUCUAUUGCUA